rnacentral:lncRNA from 1 species
AUCACAAUCCACACCAACUCUUGGUAGGUACGCAAGCAGGUAGUAUGCACUGACUAGCUUAGCACUAGAAACCUAUAAGAAAUUUCACACUUAGGGCUUGUUUGGGAGCGAUUUUUUCAUCCAAAAAAUUGAUUUUUUGACUGUUAUUUCAUUAUUCCAACCAUCAUAUUUGACUUCUUCUUUCACAGGUGGAUCCCACUUUUUUCCUAACGGUCAAAAAAUCAAUUCUCAAAAUCACUCCCAAACAGGGUCUUAAGCUUUUGGCAAAAAUUUCCUAUAAAUUUUGUAUUAUAAAAUGCUUUUUUAUCAUCCCACAUUACUGAGCAGGUAUGGAAAUAAUUGAACAAGGACAAACUCCAGAUAUGUAUGGAUACAACUGCAAACUCAUAAAAUCAAGGAUAUGUUAAGGAUAAUGUAAAUUAUAUAGCUUUAGGAACACUAUAAUAAAACAUUUGCCACAAGCAAGAUCAUGGAUUACAAGUAUGAUCCAGUGCCAUAUUUGACAGUUCAAUCUGAAAUCCGAAAAACAAUAACCAGUCGAAAAGUUGAAGAUACCGUAAUGGCUUCUAAUGUAGGGUGCGAGAAGAUGAUUCUUACCCUCAAUCGUUCGUUGAUUUACAUAUGUUGUUCUUCGCUGACUUAGAACUUAUACAAGCUUCGAAUCCCUUUUACGGCUA